ACAGGGGGGGCAAGCGUUGUUCGGAAUUACUGGGCGUAAAGGGUUUGUAGGUGGCUUGUUAAGUCAGACGUGAAAUCCCUCAGCUUAACUGGGGAGGGUCAUUCGAUACUGCUCGACUUGAAGGCAGGAGAGGGAAGUGGAAUUCCCGGUGUAGUGGUGAAAUGCGUAGAUAUCGGGAGGAACAUCCGUGGCGAAGGCGACUACCUGGACCAGCACUGACACUGAGGCACGAAAGCGUGGGGAGCAAACAGGA
rnacentral:rRNA from 1 species